rnacentral:lncRNA from 1 species
UUUUUUUAAUUGAAAUAAUUAUAGAUUGACUUUCAGUUUAAGAAAUGAUAACCAAAAUCGGGGGGUAGUGGUUCAUGCAUGUCAUCUUAGUACUCAAAAGGCUGAAACAAAGAAUUGUCUAAGUUUGAGAUCAGUUUGGCCUACAGAGUAAGUUUCAGGUCAGCUGGGGGUAAAGGAAAACCCAGCCAUCACAAAAACAAAUCCAAACAAGACAGGCUGAGUGUGGUGGCGCAUCUUUUUAUAAUCACAGCAGUCAGGAUUCUGUGAGCUUGAGGCCAGCCUGGUGUACAGAGUUCUAGCUGUCAUAGCUAAAGAGUGAGCUGAGGCUGGGGAAUAGUUCAUUGAGUUGAUGUGAAUGCCACAUGAACACGACAGCAUGAGUUGUUCACGUUCUCCACAGAUGAAUUUGUAGCCCGCGUCCUAGGGGUUGGGUGGAAACGGGUGGCUCCCAGAGUUGCUGAGUAGCCGUUCUCAGCAGUCGCUGAGAAUUGUUGAUUCUUUGGCUCAAAGAGAGAUCCUGUGUAAAGAAAUCAGGUGAAGAGUGAUACCCAUCAAUCUUUAGGAUCUACGUGGUGCAUAAUCACAUAUGUAUUUUCACAGACAAAUACAGACACACAAAAACAAGAGGCCCCUGAAUGGUAUUACUUUGCAAAACUGUAAUAAAAAUAUAUCUAAAAUAUUG